AGUGAUGAUAGAGGCGCAAGAUUCAACAGUAACACAUAGGAGGAUGAACAAAUCCGCUGAAUAUGUGUGAAAGGGGAGCUUGCCGAAGUAGGACAUCGUUGUUUCCGAUGUCAUGCUGGUUUUGCAUUUAAGAGAUGUAAGACUGUCGAAUCUUUACGUUUCGGAGAGCUAUCACACAU
rnacentral:ncRNA from 1 species